GGGUAACCUGCCCAUCAGAAGGGGAUAACACUUGGAAACAGGUGCUAAUACCGUAUAACACUAUUUUCCGCAUGGAAGAAAGUUGAAAGGCGCUUUUGCGUCACUGAUGGAUGGACCCGCGGUGCAUUAGCUAGUUGGUGAGGUAACGGCUCACCAAGGCAACGAUGCAUAGCCGACCUGAGAGGGUGAUCGGCCACACUGGGACUGAGACACGGCCCAGACUCCUACGGGAGGCAGCAGUAGGGAAUCUUCGGCAAUGGACGAAAGUCUGACCGAGCAACGCCGCGUGAGUGAAGAAGGUUUUCGGAUCGUAAAACUCUGUUGUUAGAGAAGAACAAGGAUGAGAGUAAAAUGUUCAUCCCUUGACGGUAUCUAACCAGAAAGCCACGGCUAACUACGUGCCAGCAGCCGCGGUAAUACGUAGGUGGCAAGCGUUGUCCGGAUUUAUUGGGCGUAAAGCGAGCGCAGGCGGUUUCUUAAGUCUGAUGUGAAAGCCCCCGGCUCAACCGGGGAGGGUCAUUGGAAACUGGGAGACUUGAGUGCAGAAGAGGAGAGUGGAAUUCCAUGU
rnacentral:rRNA from 1 species